CUUUUUCAUUUUUAUCGGUACCGGGGAUCGAACUCACGACUGCCUGCUUGCAAGGCAGGUGCUUAUGCCGCUGAACUAAAUCCCUAGCCCCUUUUUUGUUCUUUUUGAGACAGAGUUUCACUGUGCUGAGGCUGGACUUGAGCUCACAGCAGUUAUCCUACCUCAGCCUCUAGUGCUGAGAUUAUAGGCAUGAGCCCACCACACCUGGCCAUUUUUUUGGAUUUUGGAAAGAUAUCAAAUAUAAAGUGAAAUUCUCGCUUCUGUCCACCAGCUUUUUCCUUCUACAAGUAUCUCUUGAGAGAAAGUAGUGCCUCUCUACCUGUAUAUAUAGCUAUAUAGAUUUUCAAAGUAAAAAUGUUUUGAAAGACCACAGGAUGUAGCUCUGUGGUAGAGUGCUUGCCUAGCAUGCGUGAGCCCCUGGGUUUGGUCCCUAGUACCACAAACAAAAAGAACAAAACAGAAAAAAUUGGCAUAAAAGGCUCUUUUUUGUCUUUGAGUUAGCUCUUGAAAACGUUGUUCAUUUUUAUUCUAGUGACCUGGUUGGCCAACUUUCCAUUCAGAUUAGCAUGUGCCACAAACAGCAUAUGUUGGUACUAACACGUGGUAUUGUGAUCCAGAGGUACUCUCUGUUGUAUGUGUAACUGAUUGAUUUAAAGGGACAAGAUCACUUGCAGCUCCAGUCGUGUAAAUCCAAUUCUAGGAUAGUAUUUCUAGUUCUCAGAAUGAGUUCACUCUGUUAUAUAGUUCAGUGGUUUUUAGCAUACAGUAUUCACAAAGUUGUGCAACCAUCAUUACCAUCCAGAAUAUUUUCACUACCCCCCCCCCAAAAAAAAACCCAAACCUGUUACCAAUCACUCCUUAUUUCCCAUCCUCGCCCAAUCUUCUGGCAAGUACAGGUCUACCUUCCUGCCCAUGUUGAAACAUUUCAGAUAAAUAAAAUCAAAUAUCAUGCAGGCUUUUGUGUGUGGUUUCUUUCACUUAGCAUAAUGUGUUUGAAGUGCCCCCCACAUUACAGCAUUGUACUAGAUAUGCCAUGUUUUAUGUAUUCAUCAGUUGAUGGAUGUUAGGGUUGUUUCUACGUUUUGGCUAUUAUGACUAGUGUAACUGAACAUUCAUGUACCAACUUUUAUGUUGGAUAUACGCCUAGAAGAGGAACUGUUUGGGAAUUGCAAAACUUUUUUCUCACCGGUGUACCAUUUUACAGUCCCACUAGUAGUGUAUGAAGGUUCCAUGUUUUCUUCAUGUCCUUGUUAUUAUCUGCCUUUAAUUUUAGCCACCAAAGGUGAAAAGUGCUAUUUCAUUGCAGUUUUGAUUCGCAUUUUCGCUACAGUAUUGGCUAAUGUCAUUAGCAUUUUUGCCCAGUUUUAAAUUGAGUAAUUUGGUCUUUUUUAACUGAUUAAUCGGAGGUGUUCAGAUUAUUUUUUCUUUUGUGCCUCUUGCUUUUGUUGUCAUACUGAAUUGGUACUUCAUAUAUGGAAGCUACUGAAAAGUUCAGAAAGUGAUAUCCUUGAUACCUGGUGGGUACUUGAAGAAAAUUUUAAUGAAUGGUUUCCAUUUCAUUUUAAUUGUAGUGUGCAGAGUUAGGCUUCGAUUGAAAAUGAAGCUUUAAAAAAUACUUUUGGUAUUUAAAAACUGUCACUUUGGAACCAAAUUGGAACUUUGAUGACUGAACUCAGUAUUCUAGGUUCUCAAUUAUUCUUAGGUUUCUCAAAUUAUUCUAGGUUUUCUUAUAGACUUUAAUGUAAAUCUGUAUGCCUUACAGAGUGAGGCCCAUAAGCAUGCUGCUUGAUUUCAUCAUGUUACUGGGUAUAAUCCUAUGUCUCUGUGUCUCAGGUUGUUCAGAGCACUCCCUGAGCAGACAUUUAAAUCAUUUCCAUUUGCCCAGCUAGACAUUUUUUAUGGUUUUCUUUCUUUUGGUAGAAAGGUGAUUUUAGAAUAAUAUGUGCAUUUUUAGGCAUUGUCUGAAAAAGUGACAAGUGGUAUGAUAUAUAUCUUUUUAGAGAGGCUGUUUCGUUUUUACUACACAAAAUAGGUCAGUUACAGACUUAUGUGUGGUAAACAGUAAAGGCAUGUGUAGGUGUGAGCAGCACAAGGGAAGAGGGUUCAGUCAGAGAUGCAGGUGUUUGGGAGGGGAUGAAAUCCAGCUGCGUAUACAAGGGAUGGGGCGGAGGAAUUGGGGGGAGCCAGGUGCAGCUUGAAGUCACAUGGUGAAAAUGUUAGUGGGAGAUCAGUACCACUGUUCUCAUUUGCAUUUCUAAACCCCACUGGCAGUGGCCCGGGGUCAUGAGGACAUGUAUCCCAGCUCUACCUGGAUGGAUUCUUCGACCUCCUCCUCCUCCUCUCACCUGCAACUCAUUGUCCCUUUGAAGAGUUACUCAGGAUCUGAUAGAGUCAGCCACUCCUGAUGCUGCCUUGGAGGUUUUCCAUUAUCAUAGGGCAGUGGCGAAAUCUUCCUGUGGCUUCUGAAGCCCUGCCCACGCCAGGACCUGGUCCUCCAGCUCUGUCUACCUAGCAUACUCCUCCUCUCCAGUUUCCAGGUGCUCAGGCCUUCCUGGGCUACUCCUAGUCCAUGCCAGGGCCAGGCCUCCUUGGCAGGGCCUUGCAUAAGUCCAUCCCUUUACUGCUGAGCUUCGCUUGUGCUCAAACCUGGGUCAAAUCAAAUCCCCUCCCUUGGAGUCACAUCGCUGAGAGCUGUGUCUCCAAGGACAAUGCAUGGCCAAAAUGAACAUCAAGACAUGAAACACCCCCAAUGGAAACCCAUGUAUGGUCUUUCAUUAACACAGUGUAACACUACCCAGUUUCCUUCCUCUGUUGAAAGACAGUGCUUUUCUUUAACUGUUGCUCUGCAGGUGAAAUACUUAGCUUAAUGUUACAGGACUGUGUUAUAUGCACAGGAAGUCCUUCUGAUGGCUAAAAUCACACAGGCAUGCAGGACCUGAUUGAAGGGGUCUCAUGUUUUGUCCCCUCCCCUACAGUUGUGCCUAUCAAGGAGGGAGACGGUAGGCAGACUCCCCUGCACAAUUUUUUAAGCAUGCAUUGAUUGGUUGAUAGGCUGUACUGGGGAUUGAACCCUGGGCCUUCACCCUGAGCUACAUUCUCAGCACCUAUUUUUAAAAUAGGGUCUCCCUAAAAUGCUAAAUUGCCCAGGUGGGAGUUGGAAUUGUCUAUCCUGCUUCAGCCUCCUGAAGUGCUGCCAUUACAAACGUACACCACCGCCUCCACCUGCUCUUUUGAGUUUUGGCUGUCAGUAGUUCUAAGCUAUCCCAAGUACCUCAUUUCAUAGGACUGCCACAGUUGUGACUUAAGGGACUUUGGGCAUGGCCCAGUGUCUGGGCAUCGUGGCACUCAACAAAAAUAUUUGUUGAAAAAGUAUUUUCCUGUCUGUUCCAUAAAGCGGCUUCAGAAGAGAGUCUGCAGGUGUGUGAUUCACGUUUCACUUAAGUGAUAUUUUAAACCACUUAAACUCCAGUAAAACAUAGGCACACUCAAAUGUACUGUACACUAGUGAUCCAUCAUCAGAGGGUAGUAGUUCUGUCCCUUUAACUUGUUCUCUUGCACAUCCAGAUAGCAGAACAGAGCAAGUUGAAAGGCUCUUACUGGGCACCUCAGGUAUGACCGGGCUGCCACCCAGAGUGGGGUCAUGGAGGGCGGGCCUUGAGUAAGUGGACCGAAGGGCAGAGCGGGGGAGGGGCACAGGUGCACACUGCGGCUGCGCACAACGGCGACGUCAGCGGCUUCCAACGGUCUCCGUUUGGCCUCCGUUUGGCUUGGCCUAGUCUGGCGACGGCGGUGACAAAGAUUCGUUAGGCAGGUGUGCCGACGUGGAAGUCAUGAAGCGAAAGCGUAAGGAGCAGCUUCAGUUGGCGGCGACCCAGUACUUGAAGGACCGACAGUAUAAGGUCGAGGAGCAGCCAUCCACGAGUCAAGGCUUACGCUUGCAGCAGAGCCCUGAGGAAAUGGCGGCCCGCCUCUUCGUGCAGGCAGAGUCGGGCAGUGACAACCUUGUGGCCGCCGCCCCGUGCUACGGGGGUCCCCAGCAGGCUGAGGAACAGUUUGGCCGACUGUGGCAGUUCCUCCACGAGUCAGACACCCCGUCGCACUGCGACAUUAAGCCGCUGCUCUACCCAUUCUUUGUCUACCUCCUGCUUGGCCUGGUGGAGAGCGGCCCAAGGAGCGCAGUGGAAAGUUUCUACAACCGCUUCCACGGCCACUUCCUGCAGGACGAGAGCCAGAGGGACAUUAUCGAGCAGCUGGGGGCCACCCACAUCGCCCAGGACAUCCUGGCCUACCCUCGACUCUGCAACUUCCUAGAAAACAAGUAUGUGGUGCGCCUCAAGGAAGAUGGCUACCACUUCCUAAUGCGUUACCUGCAGAGUGAGAACAACGCUGCCCUGUGCCAGGUCCUCACGGUGCACAUCCAGCUGGACGUGCAGCCUGCGGGGGCAGCAGACACCCAGCGCAAGAGCGGCGCAGACACCCCGCAGGAGCUCAGCCCUGUACUGGUCAGCUUGCAGCACGAUGAGGACGCCCUGGAGGCCUUGCAGGAGAGCAUCAGGCGCGUCCGGGCCGGGCCGCCCUCCCUUAUCGCACUACGCUUCUACACCUUUACCAACACGCAGCAGCAGCUAAACACGGCCGAGGUCGCCCGCAAUGACAAGCUGCUCGCUGCCGGCUUUGACAACUCCAGCAUAAAACUCUGGAGCCUGUGUUCUGUGAAGCUGAAGUCUGAGCCCCACAUUGCGGAUGUCUCGCAAGUUCACCUGGCUUGUGACCUCCUGGAGCAAGAGGAGGUUGAGGAGGGUAGCAUAGGCACAGAGGUGAAGCUCCUUCGGGGGCACGCUGGGCCUGUGUACAGUGUGCGCUUCCUCCCUGACAGCACGGGGCUGCUCUCUUCUUCAGAGGAUACGUCCAUCCGGUUCUGGGACCUGAACACCUUCACCAACACUGUGCGGUACGAAGGACAUGCCUACCCGGUGUGGGACCUGGACGUCAGCCCAUACAAUUUGUACUUCGCCAGCUGCUCUGUCGACCGCACUGCCAGGCUGUGGACCUUUGAUCGCACGUACCCGCUGAGAAUUUUGGCGGGACACUUGGCCGAUGUGGACUGUAUCAAGUUCCACCCGAAUUCCAACUACCUCGCUACCGGCUCCACCGACCAGACCGUGCGGCUAUGGGAUGCCCAGCAGGGAUCCUCUGUGCGGCUUUUCACCGGCCACCAUGGCUCCGUGCUUGCUCUCGCCUUCUCUCCUAAUGGAAAGUACUUGGCAUCUGCUGGUGAAGAUCAGGGGUUGAAGCUGUGGGACUUGGCUUCCGGGACUCUUUAUAAAGACUUGAGAGGCCAUGAGGAUAAUAUCACCAGCCUCACCUUCAGCUCAGACAGUGCUCUAGUGGCCUCUGCCUCCAUGGACAAUUCGGUUCGUGUCUGGGACAUCCAGAGCACACAAGGCACACCUCGCUUCCCAGGCGCCUCUAGCGAGCUCUUGGGGGUCUACACUGGGCAGAUAAUGGUUUGAACUGAAUUAUAAAGUUUGUGAUCAAAGGUUUGUGGUGAUUUCUGUCAAAUAAAAACAUCAUGGUGUGUCCUCACCUGCCUUAUUCACUGGCUCUGGCACCUUGCAAUUUCUGGCUCUUCCCCAAAGUCAAAAUGACCAUGAAAGGUGAAUGUUCUGAAUGGAUUCUGGAUAUCACGGCAGCCACAACAGUGUAACUAAAUACACUCACGUGAGAGAACUUCCAGAACUGCUUCAGGAAGUGGCAAGAAUGGGUUCUGAAGUCAAAGCUCAUUAAAUUAAUAAUGGCAGGAAAA